rnacentral:rRNA from 3 species
CCCUGGCUCAGAUUGAACGCUGGCGGCAGGCCUAACACAUGCAAGUCGAGCGGAUGACAGGAGCUUGCUCCUGAAUUCAGCGGCGGACGGGUGAGUAAUGCCUAGGAAUCUGCCUGGUAGUGGGGGACAACGUUUCGAAAGGAACGCUAAUACCGCAUACGUCCUACGGGAGAAAGCAGGGGACCUUCGGGCCUUGCGCUAUCAGAUGAGCCUAGGUCGGAUUAGCUAGUUGGUGAGGUAAUGGCUCACCAAGGCGACGAUCCGUAACUGGUCUGAGAGGAUGAUCAGUCACACUGGAACUGAGACACGGUCCAGACUCCUACGGGAGGCAGCAGUGGGGAAUAUUGGACAAUGGGCGAAAGCCUGAUCCAGCCAUGCCGCGUGUGUGAAGAAGGUCUUCGGAUUGUAAAGCACUUUAAGUUGGGAGGAAGGGCAUUAACCUAAUACGUUAGUGUUUUGACGUUACCGACAGAAUAAGCACCGGC